UACAGAGGGUGCAAACGUUGCUCGGAAUCAUUGGGCGUAAAGCGCACGUAGGCGGCCUAGCAAGUAGGGAGUGAAAUCCCUCGGCUUAACCGGGGAACUGCGUCUGAUACUGGAUGGCUUGAGUUUGGGAGAGGGAUGCGGAAUUCCCGGUGUAGCGGUGAAAUGCGCAGAGAUCGGGAGGAACACCCGUAGCGAAGGCGGUUCUCUGGGCCGGUACUGACGCUGAGGAGCGAAAGCGUGGGGAGCAAACAGG
rnacentral:rRNA from 1 species